rnacentral:rRNA from 1 species
GAUGAACGCUAGCUACAGGCUUAACACAUGCAAGUCGAGGGGAAACGAUAUUGGAAGCUUGCUUCCGAUAGGCGUCGACCGGCGCACGGGUGAGUAACGCGUAUCCGACCUGCCCACCACUUGGGGAUAACCUUGCGAAAGUAAGACUAAUACCCAAUGAUAUCUCUAGAAGACAUUUGAAAGAGAUUAAAGAUUUAUCGGUGAUGGAUGGGGAUGCGUCUGAUUAGCUUGUUGGCGGGGUAACGGCCCACCAAGGCGACGAUCAGUAGGGGUUCUGAGAGGAAGGUCCCCCACAUUGGAACUGAGACACGGUCCAAACUCCUACGGGAGGCAGCAGUGAGGAAUAUUGGUCAAUGGGCGAGAGCCUGAACCAGCCAAGUAGCGUGCAGGAUGACGGCCCUAUGGGUUGUAAACUGCUUUUAUAAGGGAAUAAAGUGAGAGUCGUGACUCUUUUUGCAUGUACCUUAUGAAUAAGGACCGGCUAAUUCCGUGCCAGCCGCCGCCGUAAAAC